rnacentral:lncRNA from 7 species
GAUCAGUUUAGGGUAUUUUUCCAGUGGAGUUUACAUCAUCUACAAUACCAGCUGCUGUGGAGUAAGGUACACCAGAGCUUAGAUGACAGACACCUAUCUCCACAGACCAAAGUGCUUCUCUGCAUGCAAAAAUAUCUAUUUUGUGCCCAAGAAGUUGAAAUGGAGGUAUUUACUUUGCAGAAGACCUGUACAAUGUCCAGAAAGAAUUCUUAGUUGACAGUAAUCAAAAGACAGAACACCACUCCACUUACCAGUGAGAUUCUGAAGAUACGUCUAGGAAGAAUCUUCCAAAUAGAGGCUGAAGCAAACGUGUAAGCAAACAAGAAAUAAGAUGAAUCUCUCUUUUUUUCUGCAUGUGAGAUUCUGAUUACAGAUUUAUUCAACUCUAUUUGUGAAAACAGCUCUGUAGAUUUUUGCCAUGGUAUGAAAUAGUAGAUUUCAGUAAAACAAGAAGUUUGUACUUCAGACAAAUACCAAAGAACUGGUGGAGCAUAGAAAUGACACGUGCUUCAACUUCAAUACAAGAUAAUAUGAGUCCUUAGGUCUUACAUCAUGUUCAUGAAAAUGAUGUACUUUUUGUCUCGUUUCUAAAUCGUAGUGUAUCUCUCCUUUGGACGUAUAGACAUACCUUUUACAAUAGCAAAGAAGCGAUCAGUAGGCCUGUAUUUUUUUGUUCUUGUUUUGGUGAUGUUGUUUUGUCACAUUUGCAAGCUCAACAAGUUGUAUGUGGCCAAAAGAUUCUGUAUCCUAUUUAAACAAUCUUUGUGAGAAUUGAUAGGCUUUGUCUGAUGCAAAGUGAGUGAUUGUGAGACUGAAAUGUGAAUUAUUUUUUUUUUCUGUAAAAAUCUACCAUAUGAUAAAUGAAUCCCAAACAAACAAACAAACAAGCAAAGAUGGUGGCACAAGUGGUAGCUGGUUUCCAUGAAACAUCCCCAAAGAAGCUGACGUAUCAUCAUAACAUUAUACAGAAUAGACAGUCCUGUGUGAUUCCUUAGGGAAGGAAACAGGUGAAUGUCAUUGUAAUACCACCGAAGAAGGACUUAAAAGUACAUACCCUCACCUGAAUUGGUGGCUGUCAUAAUGUUUUCUAAAAAUUACUACAUAAAUCUUGCUUUUUGAUGAUUUCCGAGAUUGAACUCAGCUGAGCUGAAGCCUUUAUUGCAUUGAAUCUCAGUGUGAGUCAAGGACCAAUGGACGUGAAUAAGAAUUAAAGAGAUGCAAGAAAACAGUCCUAAUAAAAAACCACAGCAUUUGGAUGCUACAGUUAGAUUGAAUCCUGAAUUGUCGUUGACGGGUUUCUCAAUCUUGUCAGUAAUGAUGGUCUCCCAUGGUGCCAGCAAACAGUGAGCAAUUUUCUGCAGUAGCUGCUGUGACUAGAUUGUAUCAAGAUGAAAUGUUGUCAGUGUUGUCAUGAGACAAAUAUACAAAAGUAUAUCCUUAGUUAAGUCCCUCUUGCAGAGGAAAACCACCUUUCUGAGUCUGACAAAGCACAGAACGUUCUUCGCAUGAAGAGUAACCUAACCUAGUGUGAACAUUUGUACACUGUAUUUUGUUAUGGCUAAUCCAUGCUUUCUGUACAUAAUUUAAAUCUGUAUUUUGUAACAGGGUUGCUGGUGAGAUAGGAGAGGAAAGUUUUUAAACUGGAUUUAUGGAGAAGCAUUGGUGUAAAUGACAGGUAUCUAGGCCAGAGAUACUGUUCUGUUAGAUCUACUGUAGUCUUUUGUCUGAGGCAUUUAGGAUGACAGAAGUUCAUAGCAAAGCGGCUCUGUAAUGGAAAUUUAACUAUUUUCAAUUAUAAUUAAAUG